GAGAAACUGAAGAGGGGAAACACCUGAGGGGCUCUGUCCAUCUGAAGAGAGGUUUCUAAGAUAAAAUGGCUUCUACGAUGUGAUUUGCUUUUGGAACCAUCUCUUUCCAGUGACUACAGACAGCUCAGAUGGUUAACAAUAAGUGCCAUUUAAAUGGUUAAGUGGAUAAAUCCAAUGAUUGUUAUGAAAAUUCUCUGUUCUGGGAAAGUUGAAAUACACGAAAUCAUUUCAUUUAAACUUCCUAAGAGACUGUGAAUUCUGAGCAAAAUCAAACCGUGGCGUUUGCUUGAGAUGGUUCAUGGAAAUUCUUUUGCAGCAUAACAUGAGCUUUACCUGGUCCAGUUUUUGAGACUAAGUAUGAAUCAUAAUGGGGAAUAAAGGCAGGAAAUAACCAGGGGUGUUGUCAGCUGCCUGCAUUGCGUUCGUCACUGUCAUGGCUGGCAGUGUAACAGAUAAGUGGAUGGAUUCAAGGCCACCCAGGGAAUGGAGCCUGACAGGACCUCAUUCAUCACUUCCAUUUCGGAGGUCUCUGUGGAAGAGCUGGCAUCAAAGAAGUAAUCAAGGCUCACAAGACCAUGGGGGGGGGGGCGUGGGAGGAGUGCUCUGCAUUGCAAACAAACCGAGCUGUCAAAUCUGUUUUGUAAAUGAAGUGUUUUUCUGGAGACCGUGUUUAUAACCGUCACCUUAAGCAUACCCCUCAUAAUAUACAACUGCCGUGGGAGCCUAGGGCCACAACCUGGGCUUCUCCCAGCCUCCAAAUAAAAAAUUGCGAUUGCAGGGAGAAGUCAAAAGGUGUGUGUGGGAGGUGGGGGCAUUUAAGAUAUGGCUCAUCCUAGCGGUUUGUUUCAUCAGGUAGCCUCUCCAUCUUGAGCUCUGCUCUUGGCACCUGGGCUCCAUUCAUCUUGAGUAAUUGGCCUGCUAAGUAUGAUGCCUUGCCGGUUGCAGAUGAGACACGUGGUGCGAUUUGCCACUGGCUAUGCGAACUUUGUGACAGCAAAUGAGCCUGCUCUAAAGAUUAAAUAAUAAUAAUAAUAAAAUCCUGCUAAUAUGGACCUAGGGGACAAAGGAGAAAGCAUUUACUAGCAGCGUGAGGCCUAUAUGGAUAGCCCUUGCAUAUGAAAUCACGCUGAAAGCUUUAGGUUGCUAGAAAAAAAAGCAGGUGAGCAGUGUGCUCCGCUGGGCAGCUGCUCAGCUGUCAGUCUCUUCUGACAGGCAGGAUAUCCAGCUGUCUGUGUGUACGGAGUGUGAGGCUGGAUGAGCUGGUGAAAGGAAGACAUCUGCGCUACAAUGUUAGAGUGCGGUCGCCUUGUUUGCUUGUCCUUAAUAUUUUCUUCUUCGGUUUUGUUCUUACAGCCUCACAGAUGAUGCCUUGCCAGGUAGGCUUGGUCACCUGGCAGCUGGGGCUAUGGCUGGGACUGUUAUCCACUGACUCUGUGCUGUUCCCUGCAUGCGACUGGCCUUCCUGCUGCCCACUGACCUCAGCCGCUUGGUUUGGGGGGCAGAGUUUAUUUAGGAGUGACAAUCUGAGCACGCCCACGUUAUGUGAUGUUGCACACAGGGUCUAUGCUUGUACUUGAUCCUCAGGUUACCAGGUUCCUCUUAAGUGCAUGCAGUUUAACAUGAACUUACGUGCUUUGGACUCGCAGAGUAGAAACUUCCUAUUGGAUUACCAUUUUUCUUAUUAAAUACUUUAAAGCACUCUCUGUGACUUAUGCUACUUGGAAGUUACGUGUAUGUGCUAAGAGUACCUUUACAUAAUGCACUGGAUAUUUUCUUUUACGUUGCCAAGCUUGCUUCUGAGUCCUAAGCUCUCUUGAGGCAGCGAAGGCUUAGUAAAUCCUGGAAAUAAUACUGAUUGAAUGUAGCUUUAGGUGACAGAAAAAAACAGCCAGAGGUUGCUCAGGGCUUUCCCCUGCUUUGGUAACCUGGAUUACAGUCGGUGUUGGGUGCCUGAACCAAUCUUAAAGGGCAUCCCAUGGCAAAACAUUUGCCAUGAUGAGAAGAAGUUCAUAAAAUGGCAAUGAUCUUUAUUUGUAUAGCACUUUUCACCCAGGAGAAAAACAUAGUGCUUCACAAAAUGAUUUUUACAAGCUGCACCAGCACUGAAAAACAAGCUCCUCCAGGAUGAAAUACACCAGCUGCUAAGCAGCAGCACUGCUGCAUGAAUAAAAUAAUAAAGCUAUUUGGAGAGGAGUUAAUGACUGCCACUGAGCAGGUCUGAUCGACAAGCAGUGGUAGGUUUUACUGAAGGUGAUGGGAGUUUGAACUGUUCUGUUUCCAGGAGAACAGAGGAUGCAGUUCAAUAUCCUUUUGCAGAGAGGGAUCUGGUAGCAACGAGCUCUCCCUUGGUAGCAAGGGGCUUCUUGGAUGUUGAGAAUGCAGUUGGAAGACCAGGUGAAAGAAAGAAAGGGGGAGCAGCAUGGGUAGGUUAUUUACCACGAGUGUGUCUGGUGUGGCCCUGUCGCCUACUGGCUUCAGCUUCUGAGUCCCCUUGCAGUUUCUGUAGUGGCUGCAGCUAGGAGUGUGUCAGACCAGCUGGGAGCUGGUAGCCUGGGGAAGGUUUGAUGGUCCGACCAGGUUAGUUGGCUUAUCUGACCAACUCAGUAUAGAGGAAGGUAACACUGCACUUGUUGAUAGUAGAAGAGUGAUACAGCUUCUCCGUAAUAUGUGCUAGAUGGGGGAUUUCCUCCAGGAGUUGUUGCAAACUCAGGGCAGGGUGGGGUGGAGUUACCAUGCUAGCUGUGUUUGUACAUCUGGGUCUCAGAGCAUUGUCUUUGGCAUCUUCUGUACUGGAUUGUGUGAAUGGUGUUUGUAGACAAAGGUUGCAACAGAGAGUACUUGAGUGCAUAGUUACCCCUUUCAAGACCUGACAAGUCUCGCAAGGAGAACUAGGUGCUCAGGCCAAAGGGUUAUCAAUGAAUCUAGCUCAGUAAAAUGGCACAAAAUCAACUGAGCCAUGGCAUCUGAGAAGGCUAAAUUACUGUGAGAAGUGUUAUGAGAUUAUACCUGUCAUAGCUCUCUACAAUUUGUUCUUCACGUGCAUUUUAGGACUGGCACUCUCAGGGACAAGUCAUCCCCCAUUCCUGGGGAGUGGAAAGAUUCUUCAGUGCAGGGAAGAGUGUGCUCCUGACCGGACUUCCAAGAGUAUCUGACCCGUUUCCCAGAGGUCCAGGAGGAGCCCUGCACCAUCUCUCUCUCACCUCACCCAGCAGACUGUGAAAUCAUGAGGUUGUGGAAGUGUGUGUACAGUGGGAUCAGAUCUGGAGCACAGCCAGCCACCAACACAAAAAUGAGAGGCAAUAUCUGAACCUAUACUUCACAAAAAUAUUUCUGGUCUUGCAAAACACAUGGAGGCACUUACUAUUUUAAAUCUCUGCCUACAGCAAGAGUGUAAGAGACCCCAUGUGUCACCUGAGGCAAACCCCUGCUAGGUCAAGGGACUGCCACCCUGGGGCAUACUCUCGAUCACAAGACUGGAGAGGUGCCUGCCUAAAAUGAACUGGGGUGGAUGGUAGAACCAGAGCAGCCACAGAAGCAUGGAUAUCCCAGAUGAGAAGAUGCCCGUGCCUGUCCCCGUUCAAGUGGUCUGAGGCAUUUCUGUUGUGUAGGAUGGUGUCAGCCUCUAGAGGAUAAAAAUAUCUUUCGGACGAACAGAAAAGUAACCAAAAUGAAUACAUCAAAGAGCCCCAAAUGUGAGCAAAUUUCUACAAUUCUGGAUUUGAAGAGGAGUUGGGUAGCAGAAAUGGCAUGCAGGGGCAGAUUCUGGACCUGAAGCUGAUGGGCUCUGCCACAAGUAAUCACACAGAUACAGGUUUUUCUUCUGCACUGAUGAUGCUGGGGUUGUGCUGAUGCCUGCCUGCCUGCCUGCCUGCCUGCCAUUUUGGUGCUAUUUCUUGCAGUCUGUACAGCAAUGCUUUGGGUAUGACUGGCUCUCUUCGUAUCUGAACAGGAACAAAGCCAUAUAUUCCCUAGGCUCUGUUAAAAUUCAGAGACCAGCCUGUGAACUGGUUAGAGAGGAAGGAGCCAAAAGUCCUUUCAUCUACUCUUGCAUACUCCCCGAUGAGCUGAAAUAUGCAGUUUACUAUGCACCUGGAUGUUUAUUUUCAAGGAGAAAAACAAACUAAUACAUAUUUAUUUUUGUUCCCACAGUAUUAUUUUUUACUUUCAGGCUAUAUUUGCUGAACAAAAUAGUUGCAGGUUUCCUUUUAACCUAAUAAACUUUUGUACUGUUGCACCUCAUUAUAUAUUUUGUGGCAUUGGGUUUUGAAUCUGCUGCUUCAAUUACAGAAACUGCCAACAGACGUGAAAAUCCAGAAGACAGAGGCUGAAGCGUUCCUGCCUUUUAGCUUUGGAAUUACUUUUGCAUACUCUGACAGUUUUCCCUUAUAAACGAGGUUGGUGAUAGCUACAGCUAUGGAAUGCAAGAAAACUGAUGCAAACUUUGCCACCAGAAUUAAGAAGAGAACAUUUUUUUCAAACCAGAAGUUGGCGCAAUUCCUGUUUUUCUGUCUUCACCUUCCUCCCUGCUCUCCCAGGUCUGUUACUUAUUAUCAGAAGUGGGGAAGAGGAAGUAUAUGCAAGGUCACAUAAGAGGAAAUACAAAUGUGUGUGUGUUUUGCCCUGAGGAGUUGCAGCUUCCCUUCUGAAAAGACAUAGUAGGAUUUUGUGUCGUUUCAGUUUAUUGUACUCAGAAAAGGAUAAGAGUUGAUGUAAAAGGUUUUACCCUUGGUGUAUGUAAGGCUAGGAAUUUUAGUCUUGGCCUUUAGCCUAAGUGAUUGAAAAUGCAUUUGUAUUAUUUGUUUAACUGACCAGAAAAUGCACCGAGUGGAUGAUGCAUUGGACUGUGUAGAGUGGGAAGAUAAAUUCGUUUUCAGAUUAAAAAAGGUGGAUUCGCUUAUGAGGAGAUCCUGAAGUUUAAAGAGAUGUUUUCUGUAUAUGUGGAUAGGUUAGGCUGAGGUAGGAUAAUCUCAACAGAGAAAAUUGAAACGGUGUGUAAAAGCUCUCCAAAAUCUUGGAGAGACUCACCAAUCACUGUGUUGGUACUGUGUUGGUGCAUUGGUUCCCAAAUACCCAGUUGCAUGUGUGUCAUGCAGAAGACUGGAGACUCGGAACUCAUCCAGAAAAACAGGACUGGAGGAGAUUAAAAGAGAGUUAGGAAGACAAAUGGUUUCUCAGAGCAUCAUUUCUCAUUUCCAGGUCUCUGACAGAGCAAUUGUCAAGAGUCUGGACUCCUAUUUUGUCACCCAGUGUGUUCAGAAUAACUUUUGUCUUGGGAAGUAAUAUUAGAAAUAUAAAGCCAAACACAUUCUGUUAAGUAAAAUUAUUUACUACUUUGACCUUUCAGUCCUUUGUGCCGUGGUUCACAAAGGUAUCCUCCAUUCUUUACAGCUUACCCAGGCUGUCUGUACAAGGAGGACAGUCCAUCAAAGCUACUCUUUUCCAGCAUCAGGAUCUGUUGGCACUUUUUUGGUGUUUUGACUGUUAGUGCCUCUUCUGCUUUUUUUUGUGGUGAUAAAGGAGCAGUGAAGCCUUUUCCAUUUGAAAAAGAACCUGCUGAGCUUAGGGCACACCCCUUAUUUGCCAUUACCAAGAGAAUGACCCUUGCAAGCCAGCUGCUCUAAUUGUGUGCUCGCAGCCCAGGCAAAAAAUGCUCUGAGAAUUUACGUUUUUUAAGAGUUGGUAUUGAUAAUGAGGCAUAUUAAAAAAUUCAAAUUAUCUUUUAUUAAUGAGUAAGGAUGGUGCCUAUAGAAGAAUCACAGGGAAGAUGAAACAGUGAAGGGCAUGGAUAGUUUAUGAUGGAGCUACAAGGAUCUACAUGCUAUGAGUGUCAAGGUCUGAACCCAGGAUUUUAGUCCUAAUUCACUAACCUUUCACCCUGGUAGCUCAGUUUCCUUAGAUAAUGAGGCCACUGGAUGGAGAGGAAGAAGUCUGCCACAUGUGGUUUAAGUUAGUGUGGUUGAGUCUGCACUGGAAUAGAUAUGGCUGCCUCCAGACUAUGUUAAGAAAUGGCAGGUGCCCUGGUAAUGGCUCACUGAGGUUUCUGUUUGACUGUGCACUAGUGCAGAUGCACAAGUGUUAUAGUUGGAAACAACUACAUUAUACACUUCACUCAUAAGAGAGAAACAGAAAUGUAUUUACUGAUUCAAUAUAGAUAUAAUGUAGUGAUUUGACAGUGACUUAACAAGAUUUGAGAUGGCUGUAUGCACUUGAUUAUUUACUGCAUAGAUGUUAGGGUUAAAAACACGCAUACAGGAGACCCUCCCGUUGAGUCACAAUGUUCAAAGUGGAACCCCUUGCUUUCUAAAAUCCUUGAACCAAAGAGGGAAGGAGCUUAAGUGCAGCUGGAUCCACUCUUAGUCCCAGGCUUGGUCAAUAGUUUAUGCCUAAGGGACUGUAUGUGCACAAUCAAUCUAAAAUGUGAUUUUGGCAAAGCUAACAAAGCUUACACAGUGAACCUAAGAUAUAAUCUUAAUGAAGCUAGCUAGACUUAAAAGAAACUAUUAGUCACACACCCAGGAUCUGCAUUGGCAAGGCGUCUUGUUAUCAAGGUGUAAGGGAUCUCUGCAUGACCUCGAGAGGCAUCCCUACGUGAUGUGAGACUCUAUCUUGCAGCCCCACCGUUGUGCAGGAGAGCUCAAGGAGCUCUUGGACUGCUCAUUAUUUAUGGAGUAAGAUAAAUGUAUUCACAGUCAUACUUUGUUUUUAGGGGUCUUAGCUGUUGAACCAGGUGUCUGCUAUCAGUUCUUUCAUUCUCCCAGUGUGAGACUUGUGGUUGUUAAUCUGUGAGAGUGCUAUCAGUACUGUUGCUCACUGUCUUCCUGUGCAAGACUGGGCUGGAGGAGGAAGUUGGGAGAAAAAAGUCAAGGAGUGAACAUCAUCACAAUGAGUCUGGCUUAGAGCUGGUUGGUCAAUUCCUCCUGAAAUGAGCAACGCUGAAAUAGCCUGAGGGGCAAGCAGGACAAUAAAAUAGCCCUGAGAUAAGCUAUUUGUUUGCUUGAUAGAGGUUUAAUAAGCUAUCUGCAGUCACGAUGGAUGCUGAAAUCAAAGAAUGAAUGAGACUUUGUUCACGGGGAUUCGUUCUUUGCCUUGGGAGGUGGCAUUGAAAAGUAUGGAAAAAUAAGAGAAAUUUCUGAAUAGCUCUCCUUCGGCUCAGAAUUUAUAGAGUGUACUUAAAGUGAGAGAAAAGGUGAGAAAUGAAAAAGGAAAAUGAAAGUAAAGGAGCAACAAAUGGCGAAAUACCCCAGGCAUACCAGACUUGUUACUGUAGUGUAUGAGGAUGUGUCCUUAAAUCUAUGUGGUUUUCAGAGAGCCAAAUUGGGAUACUGUACUUUCCCUAGAUUCUCUGAAGGAAUUUAAUAAACUGAAGUUAAUUAUUAGUAAAUUAUAUCUUCAAAUGAUUGUCUCGAUCUCUCUGCUUAGACUAUCUUCUUGUCAAAUAAAUAUUUAUUUCAACUUUUUAAAAUUAAGAGUAAAGAAGUCUGCAUUAUGUAACCUAGACAAAAAUUGAUACAGGAGGAGGCCAAACUUCCCCCCGCUUAAGUUUCUGUGAUACUUAAGUAUUCAUGUGAUUUACAGUAGAGCAUUGUUCAGUACCUUCUUCUAGUCCUACCUGGAUGGGCAGUACUUCUGAAGAGUAUAUUGUGAAUGUGGAAAAGAGGAACUCCACUUUCAAAGAAGAAACAGAAGCUGACCUCAGCACUAAGAUGCUCUUCUCUAUUGAAAUGUAGGAAUAAUAUAUGGAGCAGCACUAGUACAAACUGCUGAACUGCCUUGGCAGCACUCCAAACGACUGCUCUUUCUGAUGGAGUUUUUAAUACUUCAAGAAGACAUAGUGUGCACAUUUAGAUG
ensembl:lncRNA